GACGAACGCUGGCGGUGUGCUUAACACAUGCAAGUCGAACGGUAAGGCCCUUUCGGGGGUACACGAGUGGCGAACGGGUGAGUAACACGUGAGUAACCUGCCCUCAUCUCUGGGACAACAGUCGGAAACGGUUGCUAAUACUGGAUAUGAGCUUGCAAGGCAUCUUGUGGGUUGGAAAGAUUUUUUUGGUUGGGGAUGGACUCGCGGCCUAUCAGCUUGUUGGUGAGGUAGUGGCUCACCAAGGCUUCGACGGGUAGCCGGCCUGAGAGGGCGACCGGCCACAUUGGGACUGAGAUACGGCCCAAACUCCUACGGGAGGCAGCAGUGGGGAAUAUUGCACAAUGGACGGAAGUCUGAUGCAGCAACGCCGCGUGCGGGAUGACGGCCUUCGGGUUGUAAACCGCUUUCAAUUGUGACGAAGCUUUUUGUGACGGUAGCAGUAGAAGAAGCACCGGCUAACUACGUG
rnacentral:rRNA from 1 species